rnacentral:misc_RNA from 1 species
CUCCGUCUUUCUCUUUUUUUCUCUAUUCUCUACUCCAUGCCAAUACUAAAGAUGAGCUUUACAUUAAUUAAUUAUACAAGACAUAGGUAUCUGAGCAUAAAUGAAACACAAGAAAUUUAAGAAAACAAAAAGGCAUCAGACAAAAUUGGGUAGCAAACAAUCAAGAAAGCUUGAAUGAAAAAUUACAUCAUUUGAAAAAGCAAUCACGGAUACAAUGUCUGAUCUAGGAACAUUCUUACAUUCAGUGUUGUUAAAGGUGCUGGGCCAGGCUAGGCAACCCUCUAGCGCCUUGCUUGGCACCACCUCGCCUGGCUUCCGAGAGAUGGCCACCCCAACGACAAAGGCAAAGGGCAUUGAGGCGAUGACUUUUGAAAGGAACGGUAAGGUUUUUUUUUUCAUUUUUUUAAUUUUUUUAACCCAACUAAAAUUAAAACCCUAGUUACCCUACCUCAUUCUCUGUCACGCAGGCGAGAAUGCAGUAGCUGUAGCUCUCCUUUCUCCCACAGCAGCUCCUCUCUCU